AACGAACGCUGGCGGCAUGCCUAACACAUGCAAGUCGAACGGGAUCCUAGCUUGCUAGGUGAGAGUGGCGGACGGGUGAGUAACACGUGGGAAUCUGCCUUUUGGUUCGGGAUAACCGCGGGAAACUGCGGCUAAUACCGAAUGCCCUCGAGAGAGGAAAGAUUUAUCGCCAGAAGAGGAGCCCGCGUCCGAUUAGGUAGUUGGUGGGGUAAAGGCCUACCAAGCCGACGAUCGGUAGCUGGUCUGAGAGGAUGAUCAGCCACACUGGGACUGAGAUACGGCCCAGACUCCUACGGGAGGCAGCAGUGGGGAAUAUUGGACAAUGGGGGGCAACCCUGAUCCAGCAAUGCCGCGUGAGUGAUGAAGGCCUUAGGGUUGUAAAGCUCUUUUGCCAGGGAAGAUGAUGACUGUACCUGGAGAAUAGCCCGGACUAACUUCGUGCCAGCAGCC
rnacentral:rRNA from 1 species